AGGGUGACAUAGAAAAGGAUGAGUAAAUCUAUCAAAUCGUUUAGAGAAAAAGUGGUUGGUGAAAACUUUUCGAUAAGAGGAUUGAAGCUACCUUAGAGUCGUACAUAUUAAUAAGAGACACUUUGUGUAAUUAGGGUGGUACCACGGAAAUGCUUUUCGUCCCUUUA
rnacentral:ncRNA from 1 species